GACGUAGGGGGCGAGCGUUGUCCGGAUUUAUUGGGCGUAAAGCGUGCGUAGGCGGCUGCGCAAGUCGGGUGUGAAACCCCGGGGCUCAACCCCGGAACUGCAUCCGAUACUGCGUGGCUAGAGGUAGGUAGGGGAGAUCGGAAUUCCUGGUGUAGCGGUGAAAUGCGCAGAUAUCAGGAGGAACACCGGUGGCGAAGGCGGGUCUCUGGGCCGUAACUGACGCUGGAGGAGCGAAAGCAUGGGGAGCGAACAGG
rnacentral:rRNA from 1 species